rnacentral:rRNA from 1 species
UCGGGAAUUUUGGGCAAUGGGCGCAAGCCUGAUCCAGCCAUGUCGCGUGAGUGACGAAGGUCUUCGGAUUGUAAAGCUCUUUUGGCGGGGACGAUAAUGACGGUACCCGCAGAAUAAGCCCCGGCUAACUUCGUGCCAGCAGCCGCGGUAAUACGAAGGGGGCUAGCGUUGUUCGGAAUCACUGGGCGUAAAGCGCACGUAGGCGGAUUUGUUAGUCAGGGGUGAAAUCCCGGGGCUCAACCUCGGAACUGCCUCUGAUACUGCAAAUCUCGAGUCCGAUAGAGGUGAGUGGAAUUCCUAGUGUAGAGGUGAAAUUCGUAGAUAUUAGGAAGAACACCAGUGGCGAAGGCGGCUCACUGGAUCGGUACUGACGCUGAGGUGCGAAAGCGUGGGGAGCAAACAGGAUUAGAUACCCUCGUAGUCCCUGAGCGGGCUGGCAAGGCGCAU